AGAGGGAACUGGAGCAGACUGAAAAGGAGCCGCUGGUCCACGCUUCUGCCUCCCCAAAGGGCCCCUAGAAAACAGGCAAGGAUGGUUCGCGUAAGGCAGUAAGGAACCCCUCCCUUCUUAAAACCCAGAAAUGAAGUACUGUAAUACAGGAAAUCCUUUGUGCCUUUUUGAGUUUCCUAGGGAGCACCCCAAGUGGUUCAACGAAGGGAGCUUGUCUGGAAACCGUGAAGAGAAAGAACCCUCAUUUUUUCAAAAGAGAAACCGUUUGUGCUAGAAAAGGAAAGAGAAGGGAAAAAAAAGCAUUAAGGAAGCGACUGUCUGAAACGUCUGGGCACACGUUCUGCGUAUGUUGGACUUCAUCUCUAAUUUCCUUCUCAUCUCUUUGGUGGCGGGCAGCAAAAAUAAGGCUGCCGGAGUUACCCAUCUGAGGGGCUGGCAAAUGUUACAGUCCAAGGACUGGUUGGGUCUUUAGCAUGACCAAGCUCCUGAGUCAGUCUGCUAUUCUUCCUAGAAGAAGACGACCCCAAGCCUCAACUGUUUCACCAACAGGAACCAAAAAGACUUGCCAUUUCUUUUAUAAUACUCCCGUAUAGAUUUUAAUUAUAAGAUGAGACGUCAGAAAGAAACAUGUGUUUA